GGAUUUGAGGGUGAUCUGGCUGCCACAUCCAUCAUCCCGUUGAUCAUUAAGGUGGAUUCAGCUGAUCUGGCUGACUAUGUGGUGUUCCCUCCCUGCUCUAGGUGCCCCCCUCUUGAAGCUGUGUGGCUGUGGAAGAGGACAACCAUCACAGAUGGAAAGAGUGUUCUGUUCUUUGGUCAAAGAUAUACAAUAGUUGUUGAUGGCAUUUUUAUCCUACUAUUCUUCCAAACAGCCCAAGGUAGCACACAUUCUGCUUCUCCU
rnacentral:snRNA from 1 species